rnacentral:rRNA from 1 species
GAUGAACGCUAGCUACAGGCUUAACACAUGCAAGUCGAGGGCAGCAUGAACUUAGCUUGCUAAGUUUGAUGGCGACCGGCGCACGGGUGAGUAACGCGUAUCCAACCUUCCGUUUACUCAGGGAUAGCCUUUCGAAAGAAAGAUUAAUACCUGAUGGUAUCUUAAUGACACAUGUAAUUAAGAUUAAAGAUUUAUCGGUGUACGAUGGGGAUGCGUUCCAUUAGGUAGUAGGCGGGGUAACGGCCCACCUAGCCUACGAUGGAUAGGGGUUCUGAGAGGAAGGUCCCCCACAUUGGAACUGAGACACGGUCCAAACUCCUACGGGAGGCAGCAGUGAGGAAUAUUGGUCAAUGGACGAGAGUCUGAACCAGCCAAGUAGCGUGCAGGAUGACGGCCCUAUGGGUUGUAAACUGCUUUUAUAAGGGAAUAAAGUGAGUCUCGUGAGACUUUUUGCAUGUACCUUAUGAAUAAGGACCGGCUAAUUCCGUG